AUGUCUACUUCGUCUGUUGUGCAUGUCGAUGUGGGCGAGUCCAUCGCUGUGCUUGCGACUCCGGUGCUACAGCUCAUGCCCGAGCUUCGGGACAUAUGUUCGAGCCCUGCUUCGCCUCUGUCCUUGGAGCGGUUGGAAGUGGACUCGUCGACAACCUUGUGUGAGGGGCAUGUUUUGCCUCUGUCGUGUGAGCAACUGGAGGCGCCGAAGUCCAUUGUGUCGAUGGUUCCUGUGGUGGAGGAUGAUGUGUUGGGGGUUCCUCGGGCCGAUGAUGUCGAUGCGGCCGGUUUGUUGGUGCCUGCCCCUAGUAGGAGCCCCUUGGUUGAUGACAACUACAUCAAGAAGCACAAUGAGUUCUAUGAUUUUCUUGACAAAUGGGUGGCGGAUCAGUCUGGACCCGGCAUCACAAGUGGUUGCCUCCCCAAAAAGAAACCCAAUAGGGAGAAAGCAAAGAGAAACAAAAGCAAGAAGGGCGGUGUUAUUCGGAAGACGCCCACGAUUUCACGAUGGAGGGUGCUCCGUUUUUAUCGUGGUCGAUGUUCUUGUGUGAAGCUCCGCUGUGUUGUACAAGUGUCAAGGGUUUCGGUUGUGGUGCAUUGGGAGGGCCACAUGUGCGGUCACGGUGUUUCCUGUUCUGUGAGUAGUACGACCUUGGGUUGUUUGUAUCGAUUUUUGCCCGGUUUUCCAAAAAUUAACUGGGCAAUUCUCUUCUUCUUAAUUAAUCGAUGA
rnacentral:rRNA from 1 species